rnacentral:lncRNA from 1 species
UAGCAUGUGGUUAGAUAUUGUUUUGAACAUAGUACAUUGUUUUAGCUUGAUGUAAGUUGAGUUUUCAAGAAAACUUCAACAUUUGGAAAAACUAGAAAUGAUAAACUUGGAUUAAUGUAUAUUAUGAUUUUGUGAGCAUAAGUAAAUAACCUAGGAAUGCACAUACAUGAGUAUAACAUAAGGCAUGAACUGGCUUGGUGUAUAAUAGAGUUUUCUAGCUUGGUUGUAGAGGAUUUCUAAAGGAAAACUUGAAGUUUUGCAAAACAAAGUAUGAUGAGCAUUAUGUUUCAAAUUCUUAUAUUUCUAGCUUAUGUAAAUAACUUGAGUAUAUGCACAAAUAUGUACGAAAAUAGGAUUUAGACAGUGUGUGCUUAUCUUGCAUGCUUAAAUAAGU